CCCAGACAGCCAGGAUGUUGGCUUAGAAGCAGCCAUCAUUUAAAGAAAGCGUAAUAGCUCACUGGUCGAGUCGGCCUGCGCGGAAGAUGUAACGGGGCUAAACCAUGCACCGAAGCUGCGGCAGCGACACUGUGUGUUGUUGGGUAGGGGAGCGUUCUGUAAGCCUGCGAAGGUGUCCCGUGAGGGAUGCUGGAGGUAUCAGAAGUGCGAAUGCUGACAUAAGUAACGAUAAAGCGGGUGAAAAGCCCGCUCGCCGGAAGACCAAGGGUUCCUGUCCAACGUUAAUCGGGGCAGGGUGAGUCGACCCCUAAGGCGAGGCCGAAAGGCGUAGUCGAUGGGAAACGGGUUAAUAUUCCUGUACUUGGUGUUACUGCGAAGGGGGGACGGAGAAGGCUAUGUUGGCCGGGCGACGGUUGUCCCGGUUUAAGCGUGUAGGCUGGUUUUCCAGGCAAAUCCGGAAAAUCAAGGCUGAGGCGUGAUGACGAGGCACUACGGUGCUGAAGCAACAAAUGCCCUGCUUCCAGGAAAAGCCUCUAAGCAUCAGGUAACAUCAAAUCGUACCCCAAACCGACACAGGUGGUCAGGUAGAGAAUACCAAGGCGCUUGA
rnacentral:rRNA from 1 species